GAUGAACGCUGGCGGCGUGCCUAAUACAUGCAAGUCGAGCGAACGGACGCGAAGCUUGCUUCUCUGAUGUUAGCGGCGGACGGGUGAGUAACACGUGGAUAACCUACCUAUCAGACUGGGAUAACUUCGGGAAACCGGAGCUAAUACCGGAUGAUAUUUUGAACCGCAUGGUUCAAAAGUGAAAGACGGUCUUGCUGUCACUUAUAGAUGGAUCCGCGCUGCAUUAGCUAGUUGGUAAGGUAACGGCUUACCAAGGCAACGAUGCAUAGCCGACCUGAGAGGGGGAUCGGCCACACUGGAACUGAGACACGGUCCAGACGCCUACGGGAGGCAGCAGUAGGGAAUCUUCCGCAAUGGGCGAAAGCCUGACGGAACAACGCCGCGUGAGUGAUGAAGGUCUUCGGAUCGUAAAACUCUGUUAUGAGGGAAGAACAUAUGUGUAAGGAACUGUGCACAGCUUGACGGUACCUAAUCAGAAAGCCACGGCUAACUACGUG
rnacentral:rRNA from 1 species